GCCAUAUCAAUUUGAAACGCCGAUUCCCGUACGAUCAUCGAAGUUAAGUAACUUCGAUCCUAGUUAGUACUUAGAUGGGUGACCGCUUAAGAAUAGCAGGUGCUGUAA